rnacentral:rRNA from 1 species
AGAGUUUGAUCAUGGCUCAGAUUGAACGCUGGCGGAAUGCUUUACACAUGCAAGUCGAACGAUGAACCUUAGCUUGCUAAGGGGAUUAGUGGCGAACGGGUGAGUAAUAUAUCGGAACGUACCUUGUAAUGGGGGAUAACUAGUCGAAAGAUUAGCUAAUACCGCAUACGCCCUGAGGGGGAAAGUAGGGGAUCUUCGGACCUUACGUUAUAAGAGCGGCCGAUAUCUGAUUAGCUAGUUGGUGGGGUAAUGGCCUACCAAGGCGACGAUCAGUAGCUGGUCUGAGAGGACGACCAGCCACACUGGAACUGAGACACGGUCCAGACUCCUACGGGAGGCAGCAGUGGGGAAUUUUGGACAAUGGGCGCAAGCCUGAUCCAGCCAUUCCGCGUGAGUGAAGAAGGCCUUCGGGUUGUAAAGCUCUUUCGCAAGGGAAGAAAACUUACAUUCUAAUAAAGUGUGAGGCUGACGGUACCUUGAUAAGAAGCACCGGCUAACUACGUGCCAGCAGCCGCGGUAAUACGUAGGGUGCGAGCGUUAAUCGGAAUUACUGGGCGUAAAGCGUGCGCAGGCGGUUUUGUAAGUCAGAUGUGAAAUCCCCGAGCUCAACUUGGGAACUGCGUUUGAAACUACAAGACUAGAAUAUGUCAGAGGGGGGUAGAAUUCCACGUGUAGCAGUGAAAUGCGUAGAGAUGUGGAGGAAUACCAAUGGCGAAGGCAGCCCCCUGGGAUAAUAUUGACGCUCAUGCACGAAAGCGUGGGGAGCAAACAGGAUUAGAUACCCUGGUAGUCCACGCCCUAAACGAUGUCUACUAGUUGUUGGUGGAGUAAAAUCCAUGAGUAACGCAGCU